UACGUAGGGUGCAAGCGUUUGUCCGGAAUUAUUGGGCGUAAAGAGCGUGUAGGCGGCUUGGUAAGUCCGCUGUGAAAGUCCAGGGCUCAACCCUGGAAAGCCAGUGGAAACUGCCAAGCUAGAGUCCGGAAGAGGCGAGUGGAACUCCUGGUGUAGCGGUGAAAUGCGCAGAUAUCAGGAAGAACACCAAUGGCGAAGGCAGCUCGCUGGGACGCGACUGGACGCUGAGACGCGAAAGCGUGGGGAGCA
rnacentral:rRNA from 1 species